UGAGUUGGGACAUUCAACAUUAAAUGAGUCCAGUCUUUCCAUCUCUUAUCGUCAUCUCGGUGACGAUGAUCUUCUGUCAUCCAUGUGAUCUGACCAAUGUGAUAAUUAUUUAGCUUUUAACUUAAAACUAUAAUAAUAUGUAUCUUUUUAAAUUAAUAUUCUCUAUUGUAUAUAAAUGUAAAUAAAACUAAUAAUUUAUUAGUAAAUAUUUAAAAUAUGAAAAAUCUGCACUAAAUUUUCUUAUUUAUAUGUCUUGGUAUAAAAUUUUAAGAAAAUAAAUUUUUUAAUAACCACGUGUUAGUGAUCCAGUGGUGAAACUCAAUUUAGAAAGUCAUGGAUUCGAGUACCGUUGGGAGGUGAUUAUCUUGAGAGACCUUCAGACCUAAUAUGGAAAAACAUGCUAACGUGUGGCCUUUGAUGGAAUUUACAUGGGGUGAUCACUAGCUCUCUUGGAUGCCUCAGCGGAUUCCCCAACUAAGCUCCGGUGGACGGUCAUUGGC
rnacentral:lncRNA from 1 species